AGUGAACGCUGGCGGUAGGCCUAACACAUGCAAGUCGGACGGCAGCACAGUAAGAGCUUGCUCUUACGGGUGGCGAGUGGCGGGCGGGUGAGGAAUACAUCGGAAUCUACUUUUUCGUGGGGGAUAACGUAGGGAAACUUACGCUAAUACCGCAUACGACCUACGGGUGAAAUCAGGGGAUCUUCGGACCUUGCGCGAUUGAAUUAGCCGAUGUCGGAUUAGCUAGUUGGCGGGGUAAAGGCCCACCAAGGCGACGAUCCGUAGCUGGUCUGAGAGGAUGAUCAGCCACACUGGAACUGAGACACGGUCCAGACUCCUACGGGAGGCAGCAGUGGGGAAUAUUGGACAAUGGGCGCAAGCCUGAUCCAGCCAUACCGCGUGGGUGAAGAAGGCCUUCGGGUUGUAAAGCCCUUUUGUUGGGAAAGAAAAGCAGCAGGUUAAUACCCCGCUGUUCUGACGGUACCCAAAGAAUAAGCACCGGCUAACUUCGUG
rnacentral:rRNA from 1 species